AUGGCUGCACUGCGAAUAAAUACAUCCCUCACCUAUCCUUACAACUAGAUGUGUCCUUGUGACUAAGUCAGGAAGCACAGGGUGUACACAUAAGUCAGAGUGGCAACCCUGAGGUUAUUUCCAAUUCAAUGACAAGCUCAUCUUGGACUUGUGCAGUCAUCUCCUUAGUUGGUAGAAGGCACUCAAAGUAAUGAUCUGGCAGUUACCAUGCAAAUAAAGACAGUGCUUUAAGAAGUCAUGGGUGGCAACAUGAGAGGAACUUCUGUCUCUAAAUGAUCAUGUUGGAGCAGACUUAGUCUAAACCACUGCCUACCUUAGGGAUUGUUGUGGGGGAAAAAUGGUUUUUAUCUUGUUUGAGCCACUGAACUUUGAAUCUCUCUGUCACAACAAUUGGUCAAAGAAAUGAGUAUGGAGAAGUGUAGAACUGCCAUUAAAAUCCCCAAAUACUGGGCAUUAGCUUAGUGGGAGAGUGGAGAGUGCAAGGAGAAAAAUUAUAGUAGGGUAGAAAGCUAAUAGGCCUUGUUAUGCCAUUGCCUGUGAACUUGGAACAGUAGGCUGAAUAUAGGUCUGCAUAUAUUUUGACACUACAGGAAAAAGCUGAACAAAGCCCAAAUGUUCUUAAUCCUGCUGUUUUUAGAAAGGUUUACAAAAGUCAUGAGCUUAAAUAAGAAUGGGCCAUUUUUCCAGAAGAAACAGAAGUGAAGAACUUUGCUAAGAGAAGUUAUUUCUGCCUGAUUUAUGUGUGAGUUCUAUAAUUUAAAAUGAAAGAGUGUUCAGAAACUUGUGGUUUGGCAGGAUUAGAGAAGUCAGCUGUUUCUGUAUGACAGAAAGAAGAGAUGAGGGUUGCUCAAAAAUGCCCUCACCCCUUCCCAUUAGACUUCACUGCCACGUAUGAUCCUUAGAACAUUCCUCAGGUUCCUGAACAUGUACAAGCAUGCUGGCUGUAAAAAUUAUGAAGUCCCCAACGAGGGCACACUAUACUUGACUCAAUACAGAUGCGGCUAUGGAUUAAGACCAUUUAUCCAUUAGGAUAAAGAAGAACCUUCUAGUAAAUCUGGUAUAAUCUCCAGAAAAAAACAAACAAACAAAAAAAACAAAAACAAACACGAAAAAACCCACAAGGUUGCCAGAUGCACUACCCAAAAAACUUACUUCAGCGUGGUUGCUUAGGUGUCUUUUAAUGUCUACUUGGCAGAUUUUAUAAUUGUUAUUGCCUAUGGAGCCUUCAGUGUUUCCCAAUGAAAGUUUCUAUUGUGGUGAUUCUGUUCCUUUUCCACCACUUUAUAUUGGGUAUUAUGUAUGGGGAAGAAAGUUGAGAGUGGCAAAGAUAAUCUGCUCAUCAUUUUAUAGGUUGUUAGACCUCAAAGAACCAUAUCAAAACCUAAUGUUUUGUAUAUUUUCCAUAGUUUCUGGAUUUUGAGCUGGCUGCAGUAAUUGGAAUUGAACUUGGAUUUUCUCUCUUGGGUAGUAGGCAAUUCUCCUCUGAUGUAACGUAUUGAGAUCACUGUGCCACACCUCAGGAUGGAUACUUGGACAACUGGAGUCAUUGGACUCCAUACUUGGAGUCAACCGGAGACAACAGUUGAGGAAAACCAUUCUAUUUUCAAGAUCACAAAGUCCAUAUUUUUCAUCUUGACCAUGGGUGUUUCAAGAAAAAUACCUCCCUUCUCUCAUUACCAGUGUUCUAGUGCAAUAAAGUAAGACCGUUUUGUUGUUGUUGUUGUUGUUGUUGUUGUUGUUGUUUGUUUGGUUUUUGUUUUUUUGGUUAAUUUAAGUGCAAACUGAUUGAAAAACAAAAGACAGCAAUGAAAGCACAGGAAGAUCAUUUAGAAAAAGGAUGGAACAGCAACUAAUAGAGAACUUGCUGAGCUCAAAUGACCAAAUCUGGCUGACGCAAAAAAAGGAUGAUCAUAACCGUCACCAAAGAUGAAUUUGGUUUUGCCAACUGUUAGAUAUGAUGACAACCUCAAACUCUAUCCAAAAAUCAUUCUUUUUGUACAUCUGAGUGCUAUAUCUAAGCUUUCCUGUUCCUUUCCUAUCAUUUCGGCUAAAUGCUCUACCAUUCUUGAGUAUCCUAGGUCACCUGAAGGACAUGUAGUUCUUUAGUAAUUAAUUAUAUUCUCAUAUCUUUGUCUUUGUACAUACCUUUGUCUGGCUAAAUUUUAUUUACCCAGUUAAAUCACAGCUUGGCAUCAGUUCUUUUUAAGAAAACUUCUGGGGGUGUUUGGGGGACUCGGUUGGUUGAGCGUCCAACUCU